rnacentral:rRNA from 1 species
AGUGAACGCUGGCGGUAGGCCUAACACAUGCCAGUCGAACGGCAGCACAGUAAGAGCUUGCUCUUACGGGUGGCGAGUGGCGGACGGGUGAGGAAUACAUCGGAAUCUACUUUUUCGUGGGGGAUAACGUAGGGAAGCUUACGCUAAUACCGCAUACGACCUACGGGUGAAAGCAGGGGAUCUUCGGACCUUGCGCGAUUGAAUGAGCCGAUGUCGGAUUAGCUAGUUGGCGGGGUAAAGGUCCACCAAGGCGACGAUCCGUAGCUGGUCUGAGAGGAUGAUCAGCCACACUGGAACUGAGACACGGUCCAGACUCCUACGGGAGGCAGCAGUGGGGAAUAUUGGACAAUGGGCGCAAGCCUGAUCCAGCCAUACCGCGUGGGUGAAGAAGGCCUUCGGGUUGUAAAGCCCUUUUGUUGGGAAAGAAAAGCAGCAGGUUAAUACCCCGCUGUUCUGACGGUACCCAAAGAAUAAGCACCGGCUAACUUCGUG